CGAACGCUGGCGGCAUGCCUACCACAUGCACGUCGAACGAGACCUUCGGGUCUAGUGGCGCACGGGUGCGUAACGCGUGGGAACCUGCCCUUAGGUUCGGAAUAACUCCCCGAAAGGGGUGCUAAUACCGGAUAAUGUCUUCGGACCAAAGAUUUAUCGCCUUUGGAUGGGCCCGCGUUGGAUUAGCUAGUUGGUAGGGUAAAAGCCUACCAAGGCGACGAUCCAUAGCUGGUCUGAGAGGAUGAUCAGCCACACUGGGACUGAGACACGGCCCAGACUCCUACGGGAGGCAGCAGUGGGGAAUAUUGGACAAUGGGCGAAAGCCUGAUCCAGCAAUGCCGCGUGAGUGAUGAAGGCCUUAGGGUUGUAAAGCUCUUUUACCCGGGAUGAUAAUGACAGUACCGGGAGAAUAAGCUCCGGCUAACUCCGUG
rnacentral:rRNA from 1 species